CCGGGGCUUCGCGCGAGAGGACGCCUCUUCCCUCCGCGCCGCAACUCAAGUGCCCGACCCUAUGCCCAAGGAACCAAUUUACUAUUGGAGAAAAAGGACUCUAUGGAAUUAUUACAUAUAUCUAUUUCUUUCCACAACACUAUCGUCUGUGUAAUCAGAGGUUAAAAUAAUUUUUCUUCAGGCAAAUUAUAUUAGGUCUCCAGUGUCAUGUUUAAAAUAAAACGAGUUCGUACUAUGCUGCGCUUGGCAAAACGCAGGUUGCAGAGGAGGCUAACUAUUGAUGACAUUAGCACAGAUGUCUCUUUUUUAUAUCCCCCUCCAGAUGGUGGCUGGGGCUGGGUUGUAGUGCUGGCAGCCUUUGUUCAUUCCAUGUUGGUCACUGGAUUCCACAAUGCUUUUGGUGUUUAUAUGAUGUCUCUUCUUGAGACUUUUCAGUCUAGUAACUCUC